rnacentral:rRNA from 1 species
GUGUUCCUACCUGAUGGAGUUAGGUUCUAUACCUUUGGCCUGACGGCUAUAUGUUGGGCCAUUUGGAAUAGUCGCAACCAGGCUACGUUUGAACAUAAGCAACUCAAAACUCCGUUUAAUGUGGUAUAUUCUGCUUGUGGCUUUUUGACGUAUUGGGCAGGCUUGAUGACGGGUGCUGCUCGGGAGGCUAUGAAGCGUGGUGCCAAGAUGCUCAAGUCGAAUGCUUCUGCGAUGAUGAGGAUUUGUGCUGCUAGUCAAGGCAACAAUGGAUUGAAGCUACCUUCGAUGGUGACUGAGCCCUGCUUUCUGGCCCGAUCGGAGGCCUUUUAG